rnacentral:rRNA from 1 species
GACAGAGGGUGCAAACGUUGUUCGGAAUUACUGGGCGUAAAGCGUGCGCAGGCGGUGAUGUAAGACAGGUGUGAAAUCCCCGGGCUUAACCUGGGAACUGCAUUUGUGACUGCAUGGCUAGAGUACGGUAGAGGGGGAUGGAAUUCCGCGUGUAGCAGUGAAAUGCGUAGAUAUGCGGAGGAACACCGAUGGCGAAGGCAAUCCCCUGGACCUGUACUGACGCUCAUGCACGAAAGCGUGGGGAGCAAACAGG